rnacentral:rRNA from 1 species
UACGUAGGGUGCGAGCGUUGUCCGGAAUUACUGGGCGUAAAGAGCUCGUAGGUGGUCUGUCGCGUUGUUCGUGAAAUCUCACGGCUUAACUGUGAGCGUGCGGGCGAUACGGGCAGACUGGAGUACUGCAGGGGAGACUGGAAUUCCUGGUGUAGCGGUGGAAUGCGCAGAUAUCAGGAGGAACACCGGUGGCGAAGGCGGGUCUCUGGGCAGUAACUGACGCUGAGGAGCGAAAGCGUGGGGAGCGAACAGG